CUCAGGACGAACGCUGGCGGCGUGCCUAAUACAUGCAAGUCGAGCGAAUCAAUAGGAGCUUGCUCCUGUUGGUUAGCGGCGGACGGGUGAGUAACACGUGGGCAACCUGCCUGUAAGACUGGGAUAACACCGGGAAACCGGUGCUAAUACCGGAUAAUCCUUUUCCUCUCAUGAGGAAAAGCUGAAAGUCGGUUUCGGCUGACACUUACAGAUGGGCCCGCGGCGCAUUAGCUAGUUGGUGAGGUAACGGCUCACCAAGGCGACGAUGCGUAGCCGACCUGAGAGGGUGAUCGGCCACACUGGGACUGAGACACGGCCCAGACUCCUACGGGAGGCAGCAGUAGGGAAUCUUCCACAAUGGACGAAAGUCUGAUGGAGCAACGCCGCGUGAGCGAUGAAGGCCUUCGGGUCGUAAAGCU
rnacentral:rRNA from 1 species